AUGAAGGGAGGGGGUUGGUGAGGCAGGGCCACCAGGCUGCUUAAAGCCUCCUGCCGCCGCCGGCAGACGAGGAAGCCUCACAGCACCGAGAGCAGAGCCCUGACCAUGCAGCCCCUCCUGCUCUUCCUCCUCCUCCUCUCUGCGUGCCUUGCCCGGGCGGACACCGUGGAGGGCCAGGAGGAGAUUCAGAAGACCACCGCUGCCCCGACGGCACAGGUCUCUGUGCAAAGCAUGAGCCCUGCCCGCAGCCCUCCCCUCCUCUCUCUCGCCCUGGGGCUGGCUCUGCCUUUCUUCCUGCGCCACUGACCCGGAGGGGGACACCUGGCACCUCACCGGCCCCGAGAAGACAGCCCUGGGUUGGCAUCCUCAGCACCGACACCGCCACGGACCCUCGCAGCGCAGAGGCCCAGCCAGGCCAACGCCAUCGCUCCUGUCCCUGCCUCUCUCCUCACCCUGGAAAUGACAGCCCCAAACUGCCGCAGCCCCAGCAAGGGGCCCCGAGCCCGGCUCCGGAGCGGCCCCGCAGCCAGCACCAGAAAUAAAGCGCUGGGGCAGAGGCUCCGA